GACGAACGCUGGCGGCGUGCUUAACACAUGCAAGUCGAGCGGUAAGGCCCUUUCGGGGGUACACGAGCGGCGAACGGGUGAGUAACACGUGGGUGACCUGCCCUCAGCUCUGGGAUAAGCCUGGGAAACCGGGUCUAAUACUGGAUAUGACUCCAUGACGCAUGUUGUGGGGUGGAAAGCCUUGUGCGGCUGAGGAUGGGCCCGCGGCCUAUCAGCUUGUUGGUGGGGGAUGGCCUACCAAGGCGACGACGGGUAGCCGGCCUGAGAGGGCGACCGGCCACACUGGGACUGAGACACAGCCCAGACUCCUACGGGAGGCAGCAGUGGGGAAUCUCGCGCAAUGGGCGAAAGCCUGACGCAGCGACGCCGCGUGAGGGAUGACGGCCUGGU
rnacentral:rRNA from 1 species